GUGCGUAAUCGGUGCUACGAAAUAUAUUUGUUCCGUAAUAUAAAAAAAUGCGCGUCGGGAAUGCCGUUUAAAGUGUCGUGCGAUUUUCGUAUUCGGGUACACGCGCGAGCAAUGUGUCCGCCACGAACACGUGUGAGUGUCGCCACGAACACGUGUGAGCGUCUCAAAGGAUCACUGAGAGGAAGAGGAGGCCUAGAAAACAUCGGAUGACAGUAGAGCAACGAUACGGUUCGCGAUACUGUGUCCUUGGGUUACGCGCGAAAUAUCUGCGCUGAGACUGCGCUGAGAUUCACGCUUACUGGCUGAUGAUUCGGAUCUUUUCGGCGAUGGUAAAAGGGCUAGAUUAACGUGGAUCGCAGAAAGAGGAAGUUCACGAUUACGUCACGUUCACGCGGACGUCAGUAAUUAAAAGAGAAAGAACGAGACAACAUCACACGCAAGUCAGCAGUCCGCAAGUAACAACAUCCGUGAGACAUCACAACAUUGACACCC